GGGGGGGGACUUGGCCCCAGAGUUGUAAUUGCGGAGUCCUGUCUUACAACAGCGAUUUCCUGAAACUUGUGGACUUGCUUUGAAUUCAGAUGCUGCCCUUCCCGCCUCACGGGCCCCGAGCACAAGGAGGAGGUGCUCUGGGGUGGAGGCCGAGGGGCCGGGGUGACGGCGGUCUUGGGACGGGAGAGCGUCACCAUCACUGCUGGGAUCAGACUCGCUCUCCCCAAAAGCCAGUCGGUGCCGCUCACGAGACCGGCGGCCCUACAGCACCAGGCACGUCUCCCUGGACCGCAGCUCCACGACGGCGGGACCGUUGCGCACGGCCUUUGGUGUAAUGACUAUGCCCACUUAGAGGCCAGGGGCAGCGGCCCACAAAGCGGUCUUGCGCCCGGGAGCCCGGCCGGCCGGUCCGCUCCCUCGUCCAGGGCAGAGCUUGGUGCAAAAGGUUCAGAACAAAGAGCCACUGACAUUCAUUUUCCUACGGGCCUACUCGCUGGAUGGCUCUCCAACUGGCCAGCCCACAUGCCUGGGUCUCUGUCUCUCUAGCAUUUAUUCGAGUUGGCAACAUGUGUUUGCAAAAUGCUGCGUCAUCCUUCGGUGGAAGGCCCCCGGGUACGUCUGGCACAGCGGAGGGGCCGGGAGGCGGGGGGCUGUCUCGGUCGCCCAUCCCCCUGCCCCUGCUGACACGGCUCGACGCCAGGACCAAACAGCAGAGCCGUCAGCAGGUGGGCUGGGCCGGGAAGCCGAGAGCCAAGAUCCAGGGAACGGCUGCGGCGUGGACGACGCAUGUGAGGCCGAGGAGGCCACACGCUGCCCAACAACCCAGAGCCGGCCAGGACACAGGGCGUCAGCCAGCCCCCAGAGGCCACUCUUGGCACGGCCAUAAAAGCCACAGCCACAAACACUCGGGCAAGAAGAGAAGACGGUGAGAAACCAGCUCGCCUCUGCUCCUCAGACUCCUCGGAAGAUUCUGAAAGGGCAUUUUCUUAGCCCUUGGAGUGAGAGCCCAGAUUCCUCUGUCGUUCCAUCGGGAACCAUGACUGAGCAUCUGCUCAGGGCCGGGGCUCGUGCCUGACACCUGGCGCCUGUGCCCGGGCGCUCACCCUGGGGUGACUUACCACCACCUUCUGCAUCGUCACGGGCAACCGAUGCAGAGGACAGGGGCCGAGCCCAACCGAGAACAAAUGCCAAGGACAGCAGGGCCUCACCAGAGAGAAAGCCAUGUGCCAUCUGCCAUGCCGUCCCUUUUUCCUACCAGGCGUGCUCCCAGGAGAAAAGCCCCACGGUGCCUACGUGCUGAUCAGCUAACGCAGGUACCCUUUCUUUUUCAUUCAUUUUUGGCUGCCCCGACGCAUAUGGAGUUUCCAGGCCAGGGGUCAGAUCCAAACCCAAGCUGUGACCUACGCUGCAGAUGCAGCAAUGCUGGAUGCUUAGCCCACUGAGUGAGGCCAGGGAGCAAACCCCUGAGCCGCAACAGGAACUCCUACAACCCGGAUCCUUUAACCCACUGUCCUGGGAUGGGAUGGAGCCUUCGUCCUGGCGCUUUAGAGACAUGGCCAAUCCUGUUGCGUCACAGUCCUAUACCAAGUUUUAACGUGCCCUAGACCUUUAAGAGUCAAAAAGGAUACCCCUGCUCCUGCGGACAGCAUCACACACCCUUUCUGCUUAAACAGGAACAAACCAGAGUUCCUGUCGUGGCUCAACAGGUUAUGAAUCCAACUAGUUUCCAUGAGGAUGUGGGUUCAAAUUCCUGGCCUUGUUUAGUGGGUUAACGACCCAGUGUUGCCAUGAGCUGUGGUGUAGGUCGCAGAGGUGGCUCAGAUCCCAUGUUGCUGUGGCUCUGGCGUAGGCCGGCAGCUGCAGCUCUGACUCAACCCCUAGCCUGGGAACUUCCAUAUGCUGCAGGUUUGGCCCUAAAAAAAAGAGAGAGAGAGAAAGAGAGAGAGAGGGGGAGAAACAACCUCCCGUGGAGGAAUCCUGCCCAAGAAACAUGAGAAGAGCCUCCCCUGGCUGGCACCUCCUCAGAACCGCAGAGACAGGGCCUGGGCCUGGCCCCCUCGGGCCACCAGAGGCAGUGUCUUCUGCUCAGUGGCAGAGCAAACAUUUCCGUGGGGCGGCGACCUGAAGUUCUCCAGGAGGAAGGAUGUGAGCUGUGAGAAGCCAGUGAGUCAAUGUCAAGGUCAGAAUGACACUGGGCGGGUCCCUCGGCCUCGCCCUUGCCAAAGCGUUCAUGAAGUGGGUGAAUUCCUCCAUGGCCUCUGCUUCUCAGACGCUCGAUCACGAACUGUGCUUUCUGGCCUCGUUGAUUUCUGACUGUUUUCCUAAGCCUCUAAGAGGAAACUCUGUUUUCCUUUUGGACCUGCUUACGUUUAAAUCCGCUUAACUUUCUGUCUACCGCCUGCCUCUUCCCCCAAAGGGUCCCGUGCUCCCUGUGGAGCGAGCAGGCUGGUUAGAAAGUCCGAGGGGAUCCGGCAAACUCCGAAGGCCACCGCUCCGUCGUUUGGGCGGGUGGUUUGCGGAGAUUUAUUUUUGUGGGUCUGUUUCUUCUUUGUUCGGCUGGAUGCCUUCUUAUCCAAUCGGGUGAGUAUACGAGAGACCGUUCUGAGAACCUGUGCAGAAUAUUUUGUACUCAGGACAGAUCUUCAAGUGGCCACCACAGUGAUAAAGACGCCGUGCAGGAAGCACGUGUCAGCGCACUUCACUAACCCUCAAAGACACUGCCAGGCGGGCACUGUCGGCCCACUUUAGAGAUUAGAAAACCAAGGCACGGAGGUGUACAGAAACUUGCCCAAGGCACUGGCUGUGACAGACUAGGGCUAAACCUCAGUCCAAGGCCCUGCUGGUCCCAUGUUUUUGAGCUGGCCCCAAUGACAGCAUCAUGCAAUAAAUGUGCCUCUCGGGUCCCCUUACCAACCCCCAUAACCAUCCCAACACCCUUUGUUCGAUCUCAGGACAUGUGUCCUUCUUCAAAAAUGCAAAUAGUUCAUAAAUAAAACAAAUCUGAUUCGACUGAGGACACCCCAAGAUGCUGCCAAAACCAAGGGAAGUCAGCGAGGCCAGUUCUAGCCAAGGGAUGGAGUCUCCUCUUGGGACUGCCUUACUGGGAAAAGCAGCUGCUACCCACUGCUGCCAGUCCAAUACCUUGGGCAGGGCCCAGAGGGAGGGUCUGGGACUCACAAGGAGCCCUUGAGCUUCCUGACAAGGGUGCCACAGGACGUGUGACACACCAGCGCCAGUGCCAGCCACACCCCGCCCCUCUGUGCGUUGCAGAGAAAAGAAGUUAAAGUGGUUCUUGGGAGUUCCCUGGAGCCACAGUGGGUUAAGGGUGUUGUCACAGCAGCAGCUCGGGUCGCUGCUGCGGCAUGGGUUCGAUCCCUGGCCCAGGAACUUCCGC
rnacentral:lncRNA from 1 species